CUCGUAUUCGCGAAGUCUGACGUCAUCAGCGUGUGACGUCAAUACGCAUGUGAUGUGUUAAACGUGCUUCACGCUUAUAGAACGUGUUACUAAAGUAAUACACCGAACUGCAGAUAGAGAAUCUAAGCGCAAUGAGGUAAAAUACAGACACCACUUAAUUCAGUCUACAUUAUUUAUCUAGGGAGAUAUCCAGGGAUCAUUCCAUCCACCAAGGGUUAUUUAAUUGAGC